GACGAACGCUGGCGGCGUGCUUAACACAUGCAAGUCGAACGGAAAGGCCCUGCUUUUGUGGGGUGCUCGAGUGGCGAACGGGUGAGUAACACGUGAGUAACCUGCCCUUGACUUUGGGAUAACUUCAGGAAACUGGGGCUAAUACCGGAUAGGAGCUCCUGCUGCAUGGUGGGGGUUGGAAAGUUUCGGCGGUUGGGGAUGGACUCGCGGCUUAUCAGCUUGUUGGUGGGGUAGUGGCUUACCAAGGCUUUGACGGGUAGCCGGCCUGGGAGGGUGGCCGGCCACAUUGGGCCUGAGAUACGGCCCAGAAUCCUACGGGAGGCAGCAGUGGGGUAUAUUGCACAGUGGGCGGGAGCCUGAUGCAGCAACGCCGCGUGCGGGAUGACGGCCUUCGGGUUGUAAACCGCUUUCGCCUGUGACGAAGCGUGAGUGACGGUAAUGGGUAAAGAAGCACCGGCUAACUACGUG
rnacentral:rRNA from 1 species